AAAUAGUUCUUUUGGAAUUUUAGGGUAUUGGGUUUUUCUUUUCUUGUGCAUGAUUGUUUCUUUAUUUUGGUUUUAGGCUCUUGCAUUGCAUCUUUUCUUGAAAGCAGAACUUCAAUUUUGGGGUUAAUUUUAGGGUUGCUUUUCAUACUGGUCAAAACAAAAGAAAAAUAAUGGACCUUUUCAUGAUCUUUAGGAUAAUGAAAGUUGAAACAAGUUUGAUUGAUAAAAAUUGCUGCUGAAUUUAGGAUUAGUUCAUACUAUUGCUGUAGGAUUUCUAGUCUUGCUAUUCGGUGACGGAGAUCUGAAACCUGAACCUAGUUUCAGUUCUACAGAAAACGACAUGAAGUUCUGUGAGAAACGCGCAAAAUCGUGUAUGAAUAGUUCAAUUUCUAUUGCUAUUGUCAUUUUUGCUCAGUUCCAUAGCAUAAUGUAGUGUUUGCUUUCUAGAUUUUCAAUCCCUAAGUUGCUGAUCUCUACAGGGAAUAAGCCACAGUCAUUUCAGACUCUGGCGCAAAAUAUAAUCAGAGCUGUUCAAGUGGAAAUCCUUUGUCAAGUCAUGCGUGUAAUUGCAAAUCAAUCUACCAUAAGACAAAUUGAUUCUCAGGCUUACCUUUUCUCUCUCUAUUCAGAUAAUACUGUUGGAUUCAAGCAGGAAUCAAUUAAAUAGGAGGGCAUGCCCUUCAGAAUUUUAUACCUUUUGUCAAAUUCCAAAAGGCUUUAUACGGGAUGUUGGCAUGAGGUUUGGAAUUAUGUUUGAGACAGAGGACUCCGGCAAGUGCAGGCAUGGGUUACCCUUGGCAGAGCUCAGUUAAACUUUGGGGAACCUGAUAGUGCCAUUCAAAGCUUUGACAAAGCAUUAGCCAUCAAGCACAGUGAUACAAAUUUUUACCUGUACGUACAUCUUGAUUCUGAGGAGGCUCAAGAUGACAUACUGCGAAAAGGCGAAAGCAGCUCCAUUCAUCAGGCUUAAGUCCUACAAGAAACCGUUCUGCAAUUGGUGAUAGCACUUCAGAUCAUUAAGUUUUCCGUGAUAAUUUUUUAUAUAUUUUUUUAAAUGAAAUAUAUUGAGUCACCAAUAGAAUUGGUGUGGGGUUGUAAACUACAUUACAAGAAUAAUUUAUAAGUCACCAUUGCACUUAAUAGUGUGUGUUAUCAUACUAUGGGACCCACAUGAGGUAGGCACCAAAAUUGUAAUAGUUC